AUAGAUAUAGUUUAACAAAAACAUUAGAUUGUGAAUCUAAUAAUAGAAGACCCUAUCUUCUUAUUUACC
rnacentral:tRNA from 1 species